rnacentral:lncRNA from 1 species
UUCUGAAACGCCGACACCAGCUUCUUCUCCUUUGGAAUUACGAUGAACCGCCGAUGCCGCAUCCCUUCCAUCCCCUAAGAAAGGUGCAUAUGUGUUUAGUUUACAUGUUCAUAGUGCUGGCCUCUGCCAACGCUCUGUAGCCGCGGGUUUCAGCACUUGGAUUGCACGAUACAGAGAGAUCGCUUGAAUGGCAAAGGUUAUGCUUGGUGCUGGUUUAACUCUUUCUCAUUAUACUAC